GCGAUCUACCAGCACUAAUGGCAAAACCGGAUCCCAUCAGAACCCGCAAAGUUAAGCGUGCUUGGGCGAGAGUAGUACUGAGGAUGGGUGACCCCACCGGGAGUCCUCGUGUUGCACCCCU